rnacentral:tRNA from 4 species
UCAAACAAGACAAGCCGCUAUG